GGCACGGGCAGGGGGCUCUGCCCCAACAGCGGCUGAGAUUUCGGACGUGUAACCACGGUUUGGGAAAAGAGGCAGCCCCUGGGGGGCUCGGAGAAGGGCCCACUGCCCGGCACCGAUACCUGCAGGCAGGGACCUACGUGCAGGUGUUGCAAGUUGAGAACUCCCAGUGGGGGAUCACAGACGGGGUUAGAGAGAGGCACAUAAAAAAGAACAAAAAAGAGAAAAGGGAGAAACGGUUCUGUUCGGAAUGAGGCAGAUAAGGAGAAAGAAAUAGAUCGAUCAAUCACUGAUCCAUUGAUCAAUUGCCGAUCGAUCGAUCUGCUGGUUGCUUCACGGUGAAAAUUUUCCAUCCGAGCCGUCAGUCUGGCACACGCCCACACUUUGCCGAUUGCAGACUGGAUUUGAACCCGAGUGCGCUGGAAUUAAUGCGUGGAGAAUACUGAUGGUGAACUCGAGCGGGGCCGCUCGGGGCUUUUUUAAGGUGUCGGAUGGUGAGCGCGAAUAGCGGAGUGUUUUGGGGGCUUGUGAGCGAGGAGCUGGAGGGAUGGAGGCGAGCCCUGCUCCCCACCCAAAAGGUGACCACCUACCACCUGGGGGAAGGCUUUCUCCAGCGGGAGAGCUUCAUCAUGCCCUUGAAAUCAAGCGCCGUGCUGGGGGGCUGCUCCCCUCCAGUGCCCUCCCUCGGGAUGCUCUGCACAGCCUGGUGUUGGUGGCUGUGGAUAUAUGGAUAUAUGGAUUUAUGGAUAUAUGGAUUUAUGGAUAUAUGAGUGGGUUUUGACUUUUUGAACCAAUGCGCAGCGCCCUAAUGCUCGCAGCGCUGGGUGCACCCGGGUGCCUUCCUACCCCUCUGAGCCCAACUACCUCUUGUUAAUUAGAGGGUCCCAACGAUUCCCACCCCACUCCCCCAUCGACCAAAGCAGUGGAAAAGGGGCUUUGACAAAACACGGAAGGCAUCGGGCAGUGCAAACAGCCACGGCCGAUGGCCGUCCCUGUGCCGGGAAGUCACCAAACGUCCGCCCAUGGCCAAGCACCAGCACGCUCAGCCCAAGGAGGAGGAAUUGAGCUGGAGCUGAAAUCCUCGGGCUGCUUCGGAAGAGCCGAGGGGCGUAGCUGGCUGCAGGCAGCCCUGUGGCAGUGACUCACGGUGGGAGAGGAUGCGACCGCUGAUUCAGGGCUGGAAACACCAGCGGCUUGCACGGAAGGAAGGGAGAUAGGAGGGAGUCCAGCUCACGUUUCCGUGCCUGAAAUGGGCGGCCCCGCUGCUGGCAGCGACCCGGACAGUGCUGAUGUGGGGUUCGGAGGGCUGGGGAUGGGCUGGCUGUGGCCUCUCUGAGCCAGGGUGGCACAUGGCAAGAGGGUGAUUCUGCUCGUCCCCAUGUCCCCAUCGCUGUCCCCAUCCUGCCUGCAGCGAGCCCGGGCUGUCCUGCGAUGCGCGCUCACAGCAAGGAUGGCCUCGUGCCCAGACACGCAGGCAACCAGCCCCCAGUGAAAUCCCCGCAUCUCACAUACCGGAACAGCUGAUGGAAGAAUUUAGUCCUUUAUUAGCUGCUAAUGAACUCGACCCAUCGUUUAACAGCCUCUGUGUAGACUGGAUGCUGGGCCCGUUUGUUUUCCCAGCUUGGCUUUCCAGUAGCGGCGUAUUUUUUUUAUUUUUUAUUUUUGCGAUGGAGGCAGGAUACAUCAAAAACACCCGAUAAACAUCACCGCAGGAAAAAGCAGCGUGCGGCCCCGAGCUGGAGCGGCCCCUUGGGUGUGAGCAGGCCGGGCAGGAGCAGAAGGGUUCAGAUCUCCUGUUAAAAAAUGACAAUGGCCACUUCUGUAGCACUGUGGUGCUCCGAAGGGUCCGUGCAGUGAUCAGGGUCCCGCUGCGGGUGCUGGGUGCUGGGAUCCUGCACCGCGGUCUCUCCAGCACCCCCGACUCCUCACUGCUCCAAAAACCGACCCCAAACCCUCACUUUUUGCUUUCUUUUGCAUGAGAUAAAUCCAUGGCCCAAGAAACAGCUCCGCAGGGGCCCGCGGCACAGCCCUGCAGCUUUGGGUUUGGUGGCACGGGGCACAAAAACCCCGCUGAGUUCUGCUGGACCUGGAAGGGCAGCUGAAAUUAAAACCUUUCCGCCCUCGUGGCUCCGUCCUUCUUGCUGUCCUCAGUCACCCUGCUCGCUCCUCUCAGCCCUGAUGUUGCAGCUUUCCCCCCCGACGAUGUGUUGAUUCCUAACAAACAGCUACCAAAAUAUCCUCUUGCUGCAAAAGCAGAACAACAAACACCCUCGGUUUAUUUAUGCACUUAACACCCCCACCUCACGCCCCCCCCCCCCCCCCGCAUCAUUUUGCCUCUGGAUAUCAAGUGUGAAACUGCUGCUCAGGAAGACGAAGAGAGUUUAAUUAGGGGCACGCGUUUUUCCUUGUUUCUGAGGACAAUUACAGCUGUGCUUUUUGGACAGGGUCAGCUCAGGGGGGACGUCGGAUUUUGCAGGGUUUGGGGCUCAGGUGGCAGCGAGGUGGCUCCCACAGGGGGCUCCUGGCUCUGCCCACCCCCAGGAAAGGGGACCUGGGGGGGCUGGAAACCACUCGCUGUUGGCCAGGGAUUUCGGAGCCGGCUUCAAUUCCCCUGGUGCAGCCGGGUCCCGGCACCCAUGGGUGCCACUGCUCAGGGUCAGAGGUGCUGGGUGCAGGGGCAGAGCCCAGCACCAGGCAGAUAAAGAACCAUGCGUGGAGCAAAAUGCUUCGCUCCCGAGGUGUUGAAAGUCCUUCUGUUACAAAGAAAGGCUGAGCUGGGAAGAAAAGGGAACUUAAUUUUAUUCGGGGGGGGGCCAAACUAGUUUGACGUUUGCCAAAUGAAGUUUCUCCAAAGUUUUGAUUCUGAAAAAAAAAACAACACCCUCCCAACAGUUCAGCCGAACGCGUGAGCAAAGCGGUUCAAUGCCACAUUUGCAUUUUGCGCUGAAAAAAAAAAAAAAAAAAGGGCAGCUUUGGAGCAAAAAAUUUCACCCGGACUCAGCAUCCUGCGGAGGCAUCGCCUCCCUUUCUCCCCAAACCACGGCUUUGCCCUUCGCCUUCCAGCACCUGGGGAUGGAGAAGCUCAAGGGGCGUCCUCCCAGCUCCUUCUGGUCCCUGCUCCUCGGGCAGACGCCGGCUGCGGUUCCAGGGCUCUUCCCUUUAGCCCGGAGCCUGCAGGAGCCGUGGUGAGGAGCGGGGCUUUGAAUGGCCGAGGCUCCCCCACGUCGCCCCCGCCAGCGCGGAACAAUGCGAGCCGAGCCACAGAAAGCCCAGAGCCUCCCACCUCCUACCCAGGGCCCUGCUGGUUCCUUUUCAGCUCGGCGGUUUCUCCAUGAGAAAAUGCCCUGGGAAAGCGAGUCUUCGGGGCGGGGGGGCUUUUGUUCGUGAUGCCCUAGACCCGAGCUGCAGCUUUUCCUUCCCAAGACGUCAGAGGAAGGCCCCUGGGAGCUGCUUCUCCCCCCCAUCCGGCGUUGUAUGGCCACCAGGAGGCAAAUGAAUAACCCCACAAAAUGAUCUUGGGCAUCUGGCGGCACGGUGGAAAGCCCCGAAAGAGAUGGGGGCAAAACCCAGGGGCUAAGAACCGAGGUGGGGUCGUUGUCACUCCAGUGCCUGACCCCCAAAGAGACCCAGGGAGGACGGGCAGCCCGGGGACGGGUGCUUUGGGAUGGACGGGGUGCGUGGCUCCAGCAGGUGCCAUAAGGCUGUAGGAACACCGCUGUGGGGUCCCCGGCUCGUAGCGUGCAGUCUGGGGCAGGGGCAGGAGCAAAGGCCCCCCCCCCCAGCUGCUGCCUGCUCAUUUUGUACUCAUUUUGUGAGCUCGGCGGGGCAGAAAAUUGUGGAUGGCCGAGGGGAACGCCAAACCCCAGCGCUUCUCCGCGAUGUGAGACUCUGGUUUGAAAAGCCCCAAGGGUUUUGUGUCAGGCUUGGGCCAAACCUGCGCUCGCCAGGAAGCCAAAAUUGGGGAGAUGGCGAAGGAAAAGGCUGAGGAGCAGGAUUGACGUGGGAGAGGCCGGUGGAGUCCCAGCCCUCGCGGUACCAGGAGCAAAACUUCCACGGCUGGUGGGAGACGGAGCUGCCCGACGGGAACAUCGGAGCCCGCUGGCUAAAUAACAGCCGGGGCGUGAAUCCUACAGGGAGAGCAGCAAAACGUGUCAGCUUCCGAGAGCGCACGGAUGCAGGCGAUGAGCUGGAAGCUCUGCCAGCACCCGGCCCGGCGCAAACAAAGCCCCACGGCCCCGAGCGAGGAAGGAAGCGGUCCCUAAGGGUGUGCGUGGGAACCCUGCCCCGUGCCCUGACCCCAUCGGUGUCACACCACAGCCCUGAUGAGGCUCCCGCACGGAGCAUCAAGCCUUCAGCACCACGGGGAUGGUUUGGGGUGGAUGGGUGCCCGAGCUCGGAGCGAUGACCUUGCUUCAGGGAAUGAAGCCAGAGAAAUGAGUGCGAGUUCAAGCAUUUUCCGUCCGCGGCAGCUCUGCAGAGCUCGCAGGGAACGGGAGGUUCAGUCCCGUCCGCUUACGGGAAGGCAGGAGAUAAGGGAGAGCCCAGCUCCUUGGCAGCAGACGCUCGCAGGAGCCAGGCAGCCAGGCUGCUGACGUCUGUUCUGCCUCUUAACCUGUGCUGCUCUCGCAGUUCCCGCACCUAAAAUAAAAGGAAAUUUGGAAAAGAAAAAAAAAAA